GACACAUGGACCUUGUCACUUCUCAAGCAUGGUUAUUAGAAAGUGCAGAGUUGGUGGAAAAGGAUGAAGAGAGCAGAAGAUACACUGGAGAUGGCUCAGUUGACUUUAAAGGGAGGCCUGUACUUAAGGAGAAUACUGACAAUUGGAGAGCUUGCCCAUUUAUCCUAGGCAACGAGUGCUGUGAACGUUUGGCUUACUAUGGCAUUGCAACAAAUCUUAUUACCUACCUUACCACCAAACUACAUGAAGGAAAUGUCUCUGCUGCAAGAAAGGUCACCACCUGACAAGGCACUUGUUAUCUCACACCUCUCAUUGGAGCUGUUCUGGCUGAUGCUUAUUGAGGAAGAUACUGGACAAUUGAUGGUUUCUCCAUGAUUUACUUCAUUGUAAUUACAAACCAAUAUAGCUUUGUUCUCUUUAAUCACUUAAUAUUCCACCUACAGAUGUCUUGAUAUACUGCUGAACUUUCCGAACUUCUUAGAUAGCUGAAGCAAAUGUCUUUAUGUGUUUGCACAUUUGUAUCAUUUUAUUAUC